rnacentral:lncRNA from 1 species
UCAAGUCACACCAACUUUACAUGGUUCUCUUUGGAUUAACCAAAAAUGCUUAGGAUUGACUUCUUACAACGGACCUUUAUAGUCAAAUCAUAAUCUCAAUAUAUUAGCAUUGCCUGCCAUUUUUUGCUGCCGACUGACCUUAUGAACAAUCAUUCCCACAAUUGGACUAGAAUUGUGCUUCAGUUCUGUGUUAGGAAAUAUAUGAUGAUGUUGAUGAUUAUCAAAUUAUAAAUGG